AUUGAACGCUGGCGGCAGGCCUAACACAUGCAAGUCGAGCGGCUGAAGGGAGCUUGCUCCUGGAUUCAGCGGCGGACGGGUGAGUAAUGCCUAGGAAUCUGCCUGGUAGUGGGGGAUAACGUCCGGAAACGGGCGCUAAUACCGCAUACGUCCUGAGGGAGAAAGUGGGGGAUCUUCGGACCUCACGCUAUCAGAUGAGCCUAGGACGGAUUAGCUAGUUGGUGGGGUAAAGGCCUACCAAGGCGACGAUCCGUAACUGGUCUGAGAGGAUGAUCAGUCACACUGGAACUGAGACACGGUCCAGACUCCUACGGGAGGCAGCAGUGGGGAAUAUUGGACAAUGGGCGAAAGCCUGAUCCAGCCAUGCCGCGUGGGUGAAGAAGGUCUUCGGAUUGUAAAGCACUUUUAGUUGGGAGGAAGGGCAGUAAGUUAAUACCUUGCUGUUUUGACGUUACCAACAGAAUAAGCACCGGCUAACUUCGUG
rnacentral:rRNA from 1 species